UAGGGAAUAUUGGGCAAUGGGCGCAAGCCUGACCCAGCGACGCCGCGUGGGUGAUGAAGGCCUUCGGGUCGUAAAGCUCUGUCGGAGGGAACGAAUGCUCUUGAGGUUAACAGCCUCGGGAGGUGACGGUACCCUCAAAGGAAGCACCGGCUAACUCUGUGCCAGCAGCCGCGGUAAUACAGAGGGUGCAAGCGUUGUUCGGAAUCAUUGGGCGUAAAGGGCGUGUAGGCGGUAUGUUAAGUCAUGUGUGAAAUCCCUCGGCUCAACCGGGGAACGACGCAUGAAACUAGCAAGCUAGAGUACCAAAGAGGGUGGUGGAAUUCCCGGUGUAGCGGUGAAAUGCAUAGAUAUCGGGAGGAACACCUGUGGCGAAGGCGGCCACCUGGUUGGAUACUGACGCUGAGACGCGAAAGCGUGGGGAGCAAACAGGAUUAGAUACCCCGGUAGUCCCUGAGCGGGCUGGCAAGGCGCAU
rnacentral:rRNA from 1 species